rnacentral:rRNA from 1 species
CCCUUAGAUGUUCUGGGCCGCACGCGCGCUACACUGACUGCUCCAACAAGUUACCUGGGCUGACAAGCAUCCGGGAAAUCUUGCAAAGGCAGUCGUGAUGGGGAUAGAUUCUUGUAAUUUUUGAUCUUCAACGAGGAAUUCCUAGUAAACGCAAGUCAUCAGCUUACAUUGAUUACGUCCCUGCCCUUUGUACACACCGCCCGUCGCAUCUACCGAUUGAAUGGAGAGGCAAAAUCUUCGGACCGUGACGCUUGGGAGUCAAAUCUCGGGCUGUCGUGGGAAGUGGAUUAAACCUUUCUAUUUAGAGGAAGGUAAAGUCGUAACA